rnacentral:lncRNA from 1 species
CAAAAGCUAAAAAACAUUAUUAAAAAAAACCUCCAUGAACCCUAACUUUUACGUACGAUGCAGAACUAUCUGAGAUACGUCUUUGCGCAGGUUUACCGCAGAGGAAGACCUCCCAAUUUCUCUUCACCACCUCUUAUUACCAGCUAUGGUAACGCUGUUUGAUUUCACAUGAAAUCCAUCAAAAUUGUCAUUGUCGAGUAUCGUGUCGUGUCUGAUAUCUAAAUAUUUUGUGAUUUGUUAUUGGAGUAGUGUCCUCCUGGGGACCUUUUUGGUUUCAAACUCACGAGCUUGACUCAGAGACACGUUGAUGUCUAAUCUCAAAUUAUGAAGCAAAUUCAUUACCUACCGAUCGAACAAGGUAGCGAAAUUGAAAUGGCUUUUUCUCCAGUGUGAUCAGUGAUGAUAUGAACC